UUAUUUUAAAUUUUGAGUAGGGUUAUUACACUUUUAUAAGUAUAUAGCUUUUUCUACUCAUAAGUUGUUAUUAAUUAUUAUGGAGCUUUCGAAUCGACGAUCCAUAUCGUUAAAUAUGGUUUCGAGUAUUUGAAAUUUUAAACAAAAAAUUUUAUAAUUUUUUAAAAUUAUAAUAAUGUCUAUAAAACGGGUAUAAAAUGAACAGUUGAAAUUGAACGACGUCUUAAAUAUAGAUAAUUAGAUCCUUCAAUAUAAGGUUGAAGUUCUUGAUAUUUAUCUAGACAAUAAAUAUAAUUUUCUAUCAAAAAUCCAACUAAUUUCAACUCUUUUACACUAUUAACUUAGCAAGUAUUUCAAACCGGCCGCUAAAUUUUUUUUUUUUGAGAGAUAGAUAGCAUGCUAUCCGCUACCUUUAUUUUAUUUUUAUUAAUUUAUUAAUUUUGAGAUCUUAUAAUUAUAAGAUAAAUGAUGUCGAAAAAUUAUAAAAUUUUAUUUUUAAAAGUUUCAAAUGUUCUAAAUUAUGAUCAUUAAUUCGGAAGUUCUAUUAUUGAAAAUGACUUAUAAAUACGAACACGAUAUAUAAUAGCCAAACUCUUGAAUUUUAGUAUUUAAAAACUCUAAAUAAAUUUUUAAUAA
rnacentral:lncRNA from 1 species